CAAGACUGCUAGCAAGCGGCACCCUUUCUGCAGAAAAUUCUGCUAAAUCCAUUUUUGUAGGAUUGAAGAAUGAAAAAAUGACAAGUUGAUUCUGAAAUCACCAUCCAGAAAUGAGUCACUUAACAUCACUGCAGGGGUCUUGCCCUGCUCUGGGUUCCAGAAGAAAUUGCCACAGCCACUCCAAACUUCAGCAGCCAUCAACAUGAAGGCAAGAUUCAAAAAAGAUCAUUAGCACUUUUUAGCACCAAAGUAUUUUUAAGGGAGUAGGUUUUGAUGUGACAAGAGACCUACAGGAAUACGCCAAAAACGGUAGAGAAAAGGGGUCUACAUAUUAAAUAAAAGGCCCACAUAAAGAAUAUCUGGAGCCAUCUCCAAAUCGUGGCAUGGUGUAAUAUUUCCAAAUCUUGCCUGGUGAUAAAAUGAUCUAAAAUAACUGUUGUUAAAAUCUCAGCUUUCUGGCCUCACUCUAGAAAUGUUGAACAAGAAUUUCAAAGGAGAAUCCUGAGAAUUUUAUUUUAUGUUGUACCAAAGAGGAUUUUUUGUAGGAUUUAUUGUAAUCAGGCAAUUUUUGGAAGCAUUUGUGUAGCUAGUAUGGGAAAUGUGGCUCUGUUAGCAGCUAGAUCGUGUUGCUUAACCUUCCUUUGCCUACAUUUUAUUAUUUUAAAUAUUAAUAAGAAUUCUUAAUUCACAUAGUUGUUAUGAAAAUUAAAUAAUCGAAUGCAUAUACAAGUGCCUGGAAAUUAAUAAGCAUCUAAUAACAAUCAAUCCCCUUCUUUCACCUCUGUCAUGGUCUCAUUACAAAUUAGCAUGAUUACUGGUGCUGGGCUUCUCUAAAUACUGUAGAAUAUUAGGCACUGACUGACAAGAGUCUCUCUAAGGCCUUAGUACCAAAAACAAUCAUUAUUAACUUGCUAUUUGAGAUAGAUUACAGUAUCUAAUUGUUAUCAUUUAUAUGACUCUAACAUGCUUCAACUGACUUCAAGUGAUCAUUUUUUUCCCCAUCACAUUUUAGAAUUUGAGGUAGCACAAAUUAACAUCAUGUAUAAUUCAAAUUACUCUCAAUUCCUUGUCUCUUUCAGGGCCAAUGAUUCACCUACCCUCUCCUUUUGUAUUUUCUUUUGAAAAAUUAGAUGAAGGCUUCAGAGAAAAAAACAAGAAAAAUCUAAAUAGGUGAAAGUGCAAUCUUGUGCUACUUAAGAAAAAUCCAUUGCACCCAUAAAUAAGCAGUUUAGCUCUAGGUUGGGAAGCAGGCCUAGACAUGGCACUGAUGAUAAAAACUGUAAUGUCCUUAAACUGUUAUUUGCACAAAGAAGGCAUUUGGUAAAAUUUAUUGAUAAACUGAACAUACAUGAAUACUAAUCAGUAAUGAUUAGCAACAGACAUGGAUACUAAUCAGUCUGUCAUAGUAACACCUUUUUCUAGAACUUCACUUUCUACCUUUAAUAUAUAUUGUAUUCUACUUGACCAUAUAAUACAUUUAGCUAUGUGCAAUUCUUUUCUUAAUUAGCAGAGAUUAAGUUCUUUGCAGGUAAAAAACUGUUGAAUUCAUCUUUGUAUCAUUUGUAAAGCAUCUUAUUCAUAGUAUAUGCUCCAUGAACUUUGUCAAAUUGAUUCAAAGUAGUCUCCACAAACUGUUGCUUCUCUUACUAAUUUAUAUGAACUAUGUUUUUCCAUUUUUACUUAACAAAUUCAGUUAAUUCAACAGAUACUAUUAUCUUGCCAUAACUUUUUUUGUUUCUUGACUACAAACAGUAGCUGUUCAUGUUCUGUUUGUAACAAAACUGUACAAAUGAAAAAUACAUCAUGCCAGAUAUGUUAUUUGCUGGAUACUGGUGAACCUAAUAUAAGAUACUCAGUUUUCUGAUAUUUAUUCCAGUGUGAUAUUAAUUUCGUGAUGAUAUAAAUCAUUGAGAUAGGAAACAGUCUAG
rnacentral:lncRNA from 1 species